GAUGAAGAACGCAGCGAAAUGCGAAAAGUAAUGUGAAUUGCAGAAUUCAGUGAAUCAUCGAAUCUUUGAACGCACAUUGCGCCCGCCAGUAUUCUGGCGGGCAUGCCUGUUCGAGCGUCAUUUCAACCAUCAAGCCCCCGGCUUGUGUUGGGGACCUGCGGCUGCCGCAGGCCCUGAAAACCAGUGGCGGGCUCGCUAGUCACUCCGAGCGUAGUAAUACAUCUCGCUCAGGGCGUGCUGCGGGUUCCGGCCGUUAAAAAGCCUUAUUUACCCAAGGUUGACCUCGGAUCAGGUAGGAAGACCCGCUGAACUUAAGCAUAUCAAUAAGCGGAGGA
rnacentral:misc_RNA from 1 species